rnacentral:antisense_RNA from 1 species
GGUUUUGGCGGCUCGAUGGGCGGGCGCGAGCCCGGCCGGUUUCACGCAAGUGGUUUCCCGGUAGGCCAACCCGUCGAGCUGCCGCCCCG